GUAGUUAUUUGGUUAGUCUAAUUGAUGUUAGCAGUCACUUGGAUAAUAUAGACCAAAGAUAUAACUUUCUUCUCAUUAACAUAGCCUCUGGGCCACAUUUCUUCAAGUAAGUGACCCAUUUUUUUCUUUUACUUUAAUUUUCCAGGGUGGUGUAUAAAGUGAUGCGUUUCCUAACUAAUACAGCUUGCUUUGUGUCCCCACCCAAACCUCAUCUUGAAUUGAAAUCCCUUAACUCCAUAAUCCUCAUUUGUCAUGGGAGGGACAUGGUGGGAGGUAAUUGAAUAAUGGGGUGGUUUCCCCCAUGCUGUUCUUGUGAUAGUGAGUGAGUUCUCACAAGAUCUAAUGGUUUUAUAAGCAUCUGGCAUUUCCUCUGCUGGUACUCAUUCUGUCUCCUGCUGCCCUGUGAAGAGGUGCCUUCCACCAUGAUUGUAAGUUUCCUGAGGCCUCCCCAGCCAUGUGGAACUGUGAGUCAAUUAAACCUCUUUUCUUUAUAAAUUAUCCAGUCUCAGGUAUUUCUUCAUAGCAGCAUGAGAACAGACUAAUACGUGAACAUACUCUGGUUUUGAUCUCAGUGACUGUGAAAUAUUUGGGAAAUUAUUUCAAUCUUGAAUAUGCAACUGUGUUAAAUCACAUGCUCUAAUAUAACAUUUUACCCCUCAUUUGAAUUAUUUAUGGAAUCUGUAAUUCAAGCUACAAUGCCAAAAUAUUGUUGUACAAUGUUUCAUAUUUUUAAUUCUUGACCUAGACUGUUUUCAUAAAAAUAUACACUUGGCCCAGGAGUUCAAGGUUGCAGCGAGCUAUGAUUGUACCAUGCACUCCAGCCUGCAUUACACAGCACAGCCAUGUCUCUAAAUAAAAUAAAAAUGUCCUGUUGUUAAUCUUUUAGAGUUGAAAAUGAGUAAAAAUAAUUAAAAGUUUUCUGAAUUGGAGAUUGAUUAGGAGGAAUACUACAAACAAAUACUAUUAUUUUUGUCAAAUCCCAUGUUUUAUCUGAAAUAGUAGUGUUCGAGCAUUAGAUUAGUCAGGAAACAUGAUGUUUCUUUCUAAAUUUGAAUUUUAUUUUGUUUCCUCUUACUAUCACAAUACUUUUCAGCAUAGCAUUUGUUUUGAGAUCUUAAAAAACUCUCCUGUUUGAAAAAUUAUUAUAGGAAGGAAGAGGACACCAAAGACAAACAGUAAUUGCUAUAGUUACUCUUACAGAAAGCCUGGAUUUGCAAGACAUUUUUUAAAAAAUCAAUUUGAUAUGUAUUUUCUCUUCUCAAAAUAAUUGACUAUAGCUAUUCAUGCUAAAUAUACCCCAGAGUUGUAUAUAUCUUGAAGUCUAUGCUUACCCUUUUUAAAAUAAAUUUUCUAAAAUUAGCACCUUUAAAAUGGAUCUGCGGCAAAUACUCCCUUCUUGUUCCAAUAUUGUAUUUUCUUUUAAUUUAUAGCUUCGCUUGUGCAAUUCUGUUGGAGGACAAUGUCUAAAUGAACUGAUUUAUUCCUACUUGAAAUGGAGUAUAUUUUUAAUAAACACAGACUAUAUCAAAAUCAACCACACACAGUGAAUCUCUCUGGCUGUAGCUCAUAGCAACAGAAGCCACAAACUGCUGCACAUAUAUUUGCAACACAAAACACAAAAGUUUUUUUUUUUUUUUGGUAACCUUUUUGAACACUUCUCACUGUUGGCCUUUAUAAAUGUUAGAAAAUGACAACAAAAUCAACUAUUUUGCUUUAUAUAUUUCAAAGAGUAUAAUUGAUAAUAAUAAUAUCCAAACAAAUGUGAUUAAAAUGCCAGUGUUGGCAUUUUGUGCUCUUUUUAUUUUUUGGGCACAUUGUAUCUUGAACAAGUAAUUACAUGUUUAGGUUUGUUAUCUCUUCCUGGUAAAUCAACCCAUUGAUCAUUAUAAUUUCUUUUUUUGUUUCCCAUAUUUCUUGUCACCAGUCCACAUAGUCUGAUACUACCACAACCAGUUUAGUCUUUACACUUCCCUGGUAUACUUUUACCACCCUUUUGCAUUCAGCUUAUCUCUUUUUAUUAAAAAUGCUUCAAUAGUAACUGCAUAUAAAUGCAUUGUUUUUUUAAAAAAAAAAACACUUCUGAAAUCUACUUUUAUUUGGAGUGUUUAUUUCAUUUGUAGUUAACAUAGGUAAGGAUAAUGUUGGGUUUAAGUAUACAAUUUUAUACUUUUUUCUGUUAUUUUUACUUAUAUUUGUAUCUCCUGCUUCUCCUUUCUUUUCCUUUUGAGUUGAUACUUUUAAUAUUGCAUUUUAAUUCCACUAAUUCUUUUUAGUUCUAGAUUUGUAUCUUUUUAGAAGAUGCUCUUAAUAUUAUAAUAGGUAACCUUAAUCACCCCUUAGAAUUAAUAUUGUUUUAUUUCACAUAAAAUGUAAGAAAAUUGCAACACUAUAACCGUCUACUUUACUUAAAUCUUUUGGGUUACUAUUGUCAUAUAAUGAUACCUGCAUACAAUCUAAGUCCCACAAUACAAUGUUAUAAGUUUUAGGUUAAAGUCAGCUGCUUUCAAUUAAUUUAAAUAAUAAUAAAAAAUUCAUUUUAUAUUUAGCUAUGUAUUUUCCAUUUCCAUUACCACUCAUCCAAUCUUAUAAAUCACAAUUUCCUUCUGUUAUGAUUUUCUUUUGGCCUGAAGAACAUUCUUACACAUUUUUUUUUUUGUAAUGUAGUUCUGCUGUCUUUAUAGCCUCUCAGUUUUUUCUCCAUUUAUUGGCCACAGUUUUUAUAUAUUCAUUCAUUGUGACUAUAUUUUUCUUUAAGUCAUUAAGAAUACUUAUAAUUCUGCUUAAUGUCCUUACUAGCAAAUUGCAACAAUCGAACACUGUGAAAUUUCUUUGGACUGCUUUUCUCUUGAAAAUCAGUCACUUUUUCUAAUUAUUCACAUGUAAAAUGCUCAUUGUUGUUGUUUUAAUAUAUUGGGCAUUGCAGAUAAAACACUGUAGAGACCUUCAAUUUUUUUUUUACGGUUGAUUUUUUCCCUAGAAUGUAUUUAAUGCCUGAUCACUUUCAAACUGUGGAGUUAUUACUAAACACUUUCCUACAGCUGACCUGUUUUGGUUUUGGCUACAGUCACAGUAAUUUCUCAAUCCUCGAAAAAUUAUAAUCACACUAUAUGGUCUUCUGAAAAUUUUAUGGAAAUAUGGAAAUGUUCACAAAGUCCUCUGUCUUAAAGACCUACAUAUUUCAACUCGCUCAUCCAGAGCAGCAGCUGAAAUCUAUAAUCAGCUUAUUUAGUCUUCUAUCCACUUCUUUCCUUUUUUGUGUGUGUGAGUUCCUUGGAGUUUCUCCUAAACAUAUCUAAAUCAGAAGUCAGCCAUGGAUUUGAAGUGAGCUUAUGUGAAGAUUUAAGGCUUGCUCUCUGAGGCUUUCUCCCUUCUGGGACUUACCCCUUUGGUUGCUAGCUGGAAGCCCUAAAAUUCAUCCUCUGAUACCUCAAACCUGUAUGACUGGAUUUCCUUUUGAAUUCUAAGCACCAUGUUCUGCAUAGACUAGUAACUGUUUUCAUUGAGAAUUUGAUCUUACUUAACAUGGGACCUAUUUUAUCGGUCAAAUUUUCUACAAUAUCUAUAUGCAUAUUGUCACUUUUCAGUGCUGUUGAGUAGUAUUUUUAUUAUUUAAAAAAAUUUAUUUUUAGGAUUUAUAAUUGUUAAUGUAAGAGGGUUUGUUCAUACAAGCUAUUUCACUAUCAAUGGAACUAGAUUUAUAUAUUCACAUUUAAGAUAACAUUUUUAUAAUGAAAAUUAUACUGGCUUACUAUUUAUGACAGUGAUAUAGGCCUUCAUUAAAAGAAAUUUAUCUAACCAAAAAAUGUGUUGAUUCAAAGAAAGCAUUAAGUAUAUAAAUCCAUACAGAUAAAGAUAUGCCAAAAUCAUAAAUUUAAAUAUGAAAGACCCAAAUGCUUGAAACAUUUUACUGGGUUCUUAGCUGCCUAUAUGACUGAAAUAAACUAGUAAAGUAAUUGAUAAACACAAUAUUUUUUAAAACCUCUGAUGCUUACAUAAUUUAUAACUCAGUCAUCUUACAAAAAUUGAGCUUAUUGCAAUAAAAUUUAAUAGUUUUAUUAGGCUUCUUUUAAAUCUAUGGCAAUCCCUUAAUAGAGCAAGAGUUAUAAAACUCUGCAGAUAAAAACAAAUAUUCAAAAUGUCAUGAAACAAAAUUAUAUCACAGACCCCUGGGAUGUCAUCAGCAUAUACCUAAAAUAAUCAUUAUCAGAACUUGAGUUUAUUAAGUACUUGCUAUAUGGUAAGUUGAGCAUUUAAAAGUAAUUGGAAAUCUUUCUUAACCUAACUUGAAAGGCUUUUUAUGUGAGACAAUUUGUCAAGUAAAAUAAUAAUAGCUGCACCUACCUCACAAGACUGUUGUGAAUAUUUAAUUACAUAAAAUACAUGCAGAAAACUUAGAAUAGCCUGCCAACUAUUGAAGACAAAAGACUAUCUAAUGUUAACAUUACUGGAGGGGUUGUGGCACAUGAUAAGAACCAUACUUUAGAAUGAUAAAGGUGGCAUAAUGACUACAUGUGAAAAGGAUAGAUAUUGGAGGUGAUUAAUAAGAUUAAUAAUUAAAAGGUAAUUUUGAUAAUGUAUCCAAGUUAUGAUGAAGACAUGGCCAGGGCAGUGCCAUUGAGAAUGGAUAACAAGAGUGCCUAUUAAAGUCUUGGUGACUAUUAAGUAUGGUAUGCUAGGAAAAUAGUCAAAGAUAUCCCAAGUUCCCUAAGUUUUAUACCUCAACAUAGAAUUAUAUUGACAAAAUAGAUAAGUGGGCCUGGCGCUUUGGCUCAUGCCUGUAAUCCCAGCACUUUGGGGGGCCAAGGCAGGCAGAUCACAAGGUCAGGAGUUCAAGACCAGCCUGGCCAACAUGGUGAAACUCCUUCUCUACUAAAAAUAGAAAAAAAUUAGCUGGGCAUGGUGGUGUGCCCCUGUAAUCCCAGCUACUCGGGAGGCUGAGGCAGGAGAAUUACUUGAACCAGAACCCAGGAGGCUGAGGUUGCAGUGAGCUGAGAUCAUGCCACUACAUUCCAGCGUGAGCUACAGAAUGAGACUCCAUCUUAAAAAAAAAAAAAGAUAAGUGAUGAAAUACAGCUUGUAACCAGGCAGAAACAUUAUUUGUAAGUUACAAAAAUGAAAUGGAGAGGUAAGGUGCUCCAAUUUUGAUAUGUUGAGUUUGAGUAGCUUUGGAAUAACCAGCUGUUAGUAUCUAGCAGUAACUGGUAAAAAAUGAUAUCAUGAGAAAUGACAGAGUUAUCUACUCAUUCCGAGUAAUUCACCAUUGUGCUAGAUUAGUCUCCUUUUUAUCAAAAUUCAUGGGACUCAUUAUCGUCAGUAUAUCCACAGACUGGUAUCCAUGAAAAAUGCGUGGCUGUUUGCAUAAAAUUUGCUAAGCAUUAGUGUAGGGAGAGGAUGAGUAAAAGAAGUGUGUAGAUAAAUUGUGGGAAUGAUCAAAGUACAACAAUAGGAGGAGAUGUAGAGAAAGGAAAAGAUAUACCCAGAGUCAAGGGAGAGAAGCGGUUGGGGAAGAGUCUUAUGUGAGACUUCAAAACCAAAGUAAAAUAGUAAAGAUAAAAGGAAACCAAAGAAAGCAAGAUACAUAAUGGAGUCUUAGUGAACAUUAGUUAUAAAUAUUGCAUUUUAGUAUAUGAUAUUAUAAAUAUAAAUACCUUUUGCAAUAAUGAUUUGCCGUAUAAAUAUUUUUAUAGCUCAACUAUAACAUACAGCUAUAAGAUUAGAAAUAUGCUAAAUAACAUAAUAAAAGGGAUCAUAUAAAGCCUAAUUAUUAAUACUUAGGGGGUUGUAGUAUUAGCGAUAAAAGCACUGUCACUAUAAUGGUUAAAUUAAAUCAAGCAGAGAGCUGAAUUUGGCCCUUGUCCAUAACUUCUUAACUCCAUUGUAGAAGGUUAUGUGAUUAGGACUGUGUUUAUAAAAACAAAAUGAUUUUAUUUUGUUUUUAUAUAUUCAAAUAAUAAAUCCAGAAUUGAAACCUGGCUAUAUGGAGAAAAAACUGGGGUAACAAAUAAUUCUAGUUUAUAGGUCACACCAUCUUAUAAACAAACUAUAUACUAUAGGAUUAGUUGAAACCACACACACACACAUUCAGUCACUAUGAUUGAAAACACAGGCUAAAUAUUUGACUGAAUGAAUUGGGCAACUUUACUAUUUCAAUUACAAUUUUGUCAAUGGAAGGGCAUAGUUUAUGUUAUCUAUUUGAACUAACUAUAUAAUUUUCUAAAUAACUAAUUAAUAAAAAUGAAUUUAUUAUAAAUUCUAAAGAAAUAAAACAGAUAAACAUUUUUUGUAAUAAUAGAGUACUGCUCUGAUGUAAUUAAGAUUAUUGGUGACUGAUAGAAUUCAGACAAUCCCUUGCCAUUAUUAACAUUAAAAUUUUUUUUUUCUAAUGCCCACUAUGCAUUAUUCAAACGGGAAAUUAGAGUGAAUAGCACAAAUAGACAUUUUAACAGCAGCCAAAAAUCAGGAUUCGUAACUUGCAAUGUGAUAGCUGUUCUAAGUCUACAAUCCAUUUACCUUAAGGAGCCAAAUAAUAGCCUUAAUACUCUGUAUUUUAGCUACUUUGUUUAUAGUUUUACAAAUAUUUAAGAAGUUAACCAUUUUUUCAUUUAAAACUACAAAAAGAACAUCAAUAAUUAAUGAUUCUAGUUCAACAUGAGCAGGUUGAUAAGUCAUAUUAUUAGGAUGGAAUGGAUUAAAGGACUUAAGCAGGACAUUUUUAUGCUCACAUGAAAGAUGUUUUGUGCUUUCUCCAGGCCCUAUGUUGGUUUACAAUGGAGUACCUUUAAUAACCUGAAGUCUUUUAUGAAAUAAGGUGAGGUAUAAAUACAUAAGAAUAAAAAAACUGUUCACUAUUGUAGAAUUACAUUUUGUUGUUUUUCUAGUAGGAAGAUUAAGAUGAUGGAGAAUGAAAUGUAAAUCAAUUAGCAGAGUCUUCAGAUGAUUAAACCCCUCCUGAUUUGCCAGCACGCUCUCAAUAAACAACAACUACUUUUUCUUCUUCUUCUUCUUCUUCCUCUUCCUCUUCCUCUUCCUCUUCUUCUUCUUCUUCUUCUUCUUCCUCUUCUUCCUAUUUCUUUGUAGUUGCUGUGUAGGAACAAAAGCACAAAAAUGCCAACUCUAUGUAUACAGGUAGAUGAAACAAACACGUAACGAAUAAACAUAAUGAGGAAAAAACUUAAAGAAAGCUGGCAGUGGCCAACACAAAUAUUUCAAUAAUUGAUGAGAUUUUGAGUGAACAACAUUUUAAUGCUUACACUGACUUUAAAGCUUCUUUCUUUUUGCCUUCUAGUUUGGUUUCAAAAUAUUUAUUUUCACACUUUUAAGGUUAUGGAUUUUCCAAUAAAACCUCCCAGUUGCCAGUCAGUUGGAUUUCAGUUUUUAAAAGUAUUUUCUAGGCAUUAUAAAGAUAUUAAAAUUUUUAUCUGUGUACUUUAAAACUAUCAUAAUAUCAUCUGAAAAAACUCUAUACUUUUGUAACCAAGGACAGAUUAACUAGAGAUGACCUAAAUACCAAUGUCAAAUCUUCACAUUGGAAGCUGUGGUGCUUCUAGGUAUUGAAAUGCCUAAGAGUUUGUAUGGAUUAUCAGGAAGUUGGUGGGCCAAAUAUCGUUUAGAUUCCAAGCUCUUUUUCUCCCACAUUUUGUAUAUCUGAAGUCAAUAAAUUUUAUCUUGGGAAAAUGAGAUUAUUGGAUGUCAAAUAUUGAACUAUGGGCUGAGGAUCUAGCAUAUAGAAUAGCCUUACAUUAUGAAAAAUAAAGCACUAAGAAAAUGCCUGUAAUAAUUUAGCCUUUAGUUCUUCUCCCUGAGUUGAUUCAUUGGUACUGCUCUACAAUUAGAUGACGUGAACACACAUGUGGAUGGUAAAUGAUGCCAAAGAUCAUUGUUAACAUGAUUAAUAAAUUAUGCUUGACAUCAUUUUAUAUUUACUUACUCUUUAUCCAUGUGCUCUUACCAUGCAGAAAGCUUAGUUCACGUCCAUUCUAGGGAGAGUUUGACAUGUCAGACAAUGAAGUUUUAUGUGACACCUACUCAGAAGGUAGCUGGCAUUGUGGCCACUGCUCUGUGUUUUGCCAGCAUAUCUGUAAGUAUGAGAAGAUCGUGUCCUCUUUUCAUCAGCAUGCUCCUUCUCCUCCUUCAAUCAUUAGUCCCUUAGGCUUUAGUAAAAGAACAGUGCACAUUCCUUUUAUGGGCAAAUGUGUGAGCCUAAAUACUUUAUUUUUUUGUAGUCAAUCUUUUUUAGGCUAAAUAGGCAAUCAGGGAGUCACUUACGUUUAAACUAAAGACAUUUUAAACUAAAAAAAAAUCAGUUUUCAGCAUUUGAUUUGUGGUGUGUAUUAUAUAUACACAAUCAAAAUAAAUACUGCUAUGCCCUUUUCAUUUAUCUAGUUUGUUCCUCUUGAAUUUACCAAGUUCACUAAAGAUGUUCAUCUUUCCAUCUUUAAUGUAUGGACGUCACAACAGAUUUUGGCAAUGCUGUGCGAAUCUGAUUUGUUUUCUUCACUAGCACACAACAUAAAGCUAUUAGCUGCCUUGAAUUAUACAAAAAAUGUUGAAAUCUGGCAAACCAAUGGAGUGCUGACUCUUGUUUUUGAUCUAUUGAACUAUCAGCACCUUUUAGCCCAACAGCUUUAAAUCUCCAAUCAAAAUAUUUACUUACUUAGAAAAAAAAUCUAUUUUUUGAAUAUUAUUGCUGAUUGUAAUGGCAGACCAAUCAUAAUCAUGCAUGUAAGAUAAAUAUUGUGUUUGACUAAGGAUAAAAGAAAUAUUUUGCAUCAUAUGUAUUUUAUUCUAUUAUUUUGUGAUAUAGAAGGACCAGUGAUAAAUGUAGGGUAAUAAAUAGAACAUAAUCUGCGUAUUUUAAUCUGUUUUAAAACAUUUUCUUACUAUUUUAAUGUCCCUACUUAUAAGCAUGUAAAUAGAAAGCAUUAAGACAGAGGAGGUUGUAAAGAAAACUAUGGCAAGCAAAAUUUAACAAACAUUUAGUAGUCAUUACAUUUAACUAUACUUUAACUUUAUUUUUAUUAUGGGAUACAGUAUUUACCUUUAUUAAAAGGUUUGACAAAAAGAUUUUUAAGGUUUUAUCAAAUUCCUGAGAUAAGUUAAAAAAAGAAGCAAGUUUCAAAAAAAGAUAUAAACAGUUUAUUUUGGAAUGAAGAUUCAAGUCUGAUCCUUUGCAUAUGAAUCUUGGAUCUUGGAUGUGAAUUCCUGACUAAUGGUUAAAGUGGACUUAGAAUCUUUCCUUGAGGACAAAUAGAAUUGAGGAAGAGAAAAAUCUGAGAAGCAUUCAGAAGCUAUGUCUUCCUGCAUGAGAUCAUAAGUAAUAAAUCCAGGCAGAGAUAAGGAAGAUGAUGAAGUAAAGAUUAUCUGCUAAUGUAAGAGUUCUCCAUAGAUACAUAGCAAAAGUGGUGAAUUGUUUGCCUAAUAACAGUAACUCUGGGCUAUAUCAACAAUUUUAAGAGAGAAUAAAGAAGAUAUUAUAUCUGGUGAUCAAUUUAGAAUAUUCACAAUGUUUUAGACCUAAAAUUUAAGCAUUAUAGAAAAGUCUCAAAUUAGUGACUAUUUUAAUAAAACCUGCCUAAUAAUCUUACUAAUUCAAAUCUCAAUAUAUAAUCCUCAUUCAUUAUAGGAACUAUAUUUUCAUUAAAAAUUUUUCUUGAAUGACUAGUUUGUAGUAGUUUACUCUGAAAUGUUAGAGAUUAGAAAAUCAGCAGAAUUUUUUUCACAAAAAAAAUAUUUGAUAUAGUAAGAUAUUUAACUGGUGUUUACAAAUAUGUUGACAGAGUAAACAUAUAAGGGAUUUGGACUAGGUGUUUACAUUUGAAUAUCAUUCAUUAUGAAGAAAAUGGAAAUAGAAAAAGGCAGUUAUUCCCAAGUAACUCUCAUGUUUGCGUUAUAUUUUGCUUUGAAGGAUAAGGAACACGAAAGCAUGUUUGUAAACUGUGAAUGAUGGAAUAGGAACACAGGCUAAUUAUGCAGUAUAGUGAUGGCAUAAUGAAGAGGCACAGUGCUUUCAAAGAUAAUAGAAGAUGGCAUCCAGAACACAUGUAUAGGAACUAAUCGUUGAUGGAAAGAGGACCAAUUCUGCCACUGACAUGGGAGAAAAGAAUGAGAGCACAGAUUACUGGAUUUGUGGAGGGAGAAGAUACAACUCCUUUUGGAUACCUUCUGUUUGUUUAACUAUGUGAUGAAAAACCAUUAACUAAGAGCGAAGUGGUGAGGAGAGAAUAAAAUAUUUAAGAAUAGAGAAAGUGAUACAAAAUAAUCUCCUGAGGAGAGUGAGAGUGAGUGUACGACUUACUAUAGGACUAGAGUAAAUUGCUGAUCCAGCUACAAGUUUAUCUGAUUUUACAGAAGAUGAAGUGAAAUCAUCCAACCUGCCCAGUGGGUCAAUAUGUCUAGCCAUGCUUAGUCCCUACCCCCACUUCAACCACAGAAAAUGAGGUAAGAGAAGGAGAAAAAAUCUGAGAGGACUUUUUUCCCCUUUUCCAAAAGAAAGAUUAUGAUAGAUGAUGGAUGUAUUACAUUUGCUAGAGUUGCCACAAUAAAUUACCUCUCAUUGGGUAGACUAAAAAAAGAGAAUUGUAUUCUUUCACAGUUCUGGAGGCUAGAAAUAUAAAGUCAAAGUAUCAGCAGAGCUAUGAAGGAUCUAAGGAUGAAUCCUUCCUUAUCUUUUCUGGCUUUGGGUAGCCCCAGAUUUUCUUUGACUUGCAGCAGCAUAAAUCCAAUCUCUGCCUUGUUUUCUGUCAUCAUGUGGCUUUCUUUUCCCUUUGUACAACUCUGGUAAACCAUAAUCAAAUAAUUUAUAAGUAAGACCCCAAAAGUAGAUGCAACAAAACAAAAAUAAAUAUAUGAGAUUUAAUUAAACUAAAAAUCUCCUGCACAGCAAAAGAAAUUAUCAACAGACUAAAGAGAUAACCUGCAGAUUGGGAGAAAAUAUUUUCAAACUAUGCAUCCAAUAAAGAACAAACAUCUAGCAUCUACAAAGAAUUUAAACAAAUCACCAAGAAAAAAACUUCAACUAAAAAGUGGGCAAAUGUCAUGAACAGACAGUUCUCAAAAGAAGAUAUACAAAUAGCCAACAAACAUAAAAAUUGAUCAACAUCAAGUCAGUAGUCGUGAGAGAAAUGCAAAUUAAAACCACAAUGAGAUGCCACAUUACCCCUGUAAGCAUGACCAUUAUUAAAAAGCCAAAAACAACAGAUGUUAGCAAUGGUGCAAUGAAAAGGGAAUGCUAUUCACUGUUGGUGAGAAUGUAUAUUAGUAUGACUUUUAUGGAAAAUAGUAUCAAGAUUUCUGAAAGAACUGGAAGUAGAUUUAUCAUUUGAUCAAGCAAUCCUGCCACUGGGUAUCUACUCAAAGUAAAAUAAGUCAUUAUAUCAUGACACCUGCACUCAAACCUUUAUUAUAGCACAAUUCACAAUUGCAAAGAUAUGGAAUUAAUUUAAAUGCCCAUUAACAGAUGAGUGGAUAAAGAAAAUAUGGCACAGAUAUGUGUGUGUGUGUGUGUGUUUAUGCACACAGAUAUGUGUGUGUGUGUUUAUGCACACACAUACACCACACAAUAUAUUUGUGUGUGAAUAUAUGUGUGUGUAUAUAUAUAUGUAGACAUGGAAUAUCUAUAUGUGUGUGUAUAUAUAUACAUAUACAUACAUAGACACACACACACACACACACACACACACACACACACACACACCAUGGAAUGCUACCCUCCAGCCACAAAAAAGAUGAAAUAAUGCCUUUUGCAGUGACUUGGAUGGAACUGGAGGCCAUUAUCCUAAGUGAAGUUACUCGGAAUGGAAAACCAAAUACUAUAUGUCUUUUUACUUAUAAGUGGGGGAGCUAAGCUAUGGGUAUGCAAAGGCAUAUAGAGUGGUAUAAUAGAUACUGGAGAUUCAGAAGAGAGAAGGAAGGGAGGAGGGUACAGGAUGAAACAUUAUCUAUUGGGUACAGUGAACACUAUUCAGGUGAUGGGUGCACUAAAAGCCCCAGAUUUUACCACUAUACAACUCAUCCGUGUAACCAGAAACCACUUGAAUCCCUAAAGCUAUUGAAAUAAAAAAAAAUAUUCCCCUUUCUCUUAUUCAACACCGUUCAUUGUUUUUAGGGCUCACUUAAGUCCAAGAUGAUUUCAUCUUGAGAUCCUGAACUAAUAAUAUCUGCAAAGACUCAUUUCAAAAUAAAAUUAUUUUCUGAGGUUUCAAUGGACAUCAGUUUGGGGUGCACACUGUUCAACCCACUACAAUGGACUCAGUACAACCAAAAGAGGUUCUUACCUGAGGCUAAAUUCCUAAGUGUGUCUGUGAUAUUUGACUGAGAUGAUUAUGCUAUGUACAAGAUUUCACUUACUCCUCUUGUUUUCCACCUUAUUUUCCUCACAUUCUCUCUAGUACCUGCUACAUUUGGGCCCUUUUCAAAUUUUAUUUUUAUUUUUUCAAUUUUUCCAACAGUUUUUACCCUCCUCUGUAAUGUCUUUAUAAUAUAUUAUGAGCAUAUUAGGGUUCUCUAUAGAGACAGAACUAAUAGGAAAGAUGUAGGAGUUUAUUAAGGAGUACUGACUCGAUCACAAGGUGAGGUCCCGCAAUAGGCCGUCUGCAAGCUGAGGAGCAAGAAAGUCAGUCCAAGUCCCAAACAUGAAGAACUUGGAGUCUGAUGUUCAAGGGCAGGAAGCAUCCAGCACAGGAGAAAGAUGUGAGCUGGGAGACCGAACCAGUCUAGUCUUUCCACAUUCUUCUGCCUGCUUUUAUUCUGGCCAUGCUGGCAGCUGAUUAGAUUUUGCCCACCAAGAUUGAGGGUGGGUCUGUGUUCCCCAGCCCACUAACUCAAAUGUUAAUCUCCUUUGACAACACCCUCACAGACACACCCAGGAAGAAUACUUUGCAUCCUUCAAUCCAAUUAAGUUGACAGGCAAUAUUAACCAUCACAAUGAGUUACAUUUUUCCCACAUUUUAAUACACUAAAUGUAUAUCGCUCACUUUGUUUUUCAUCUUCCAUAAAUUUGUUAAGAUCUCUCACUUUUUGUCUCCCCAGCCUCCUCCUUACAUUAUCUUGUCAUUGUCUGAGUUGAUUCCUUUUUGAAUUUCUAUAUUUUAAUUGCAAUGUGGUUUCCCAAUGGAUAAUAGAGUACUUAACAUUUCAUUUGAGACUAAAAAUUUUAUUUUCCAGUUGUUAAAGCUACUUUUGUUUUCUUGUUUUGCUAUAGGAAUUGCCUUUCCAUUGUGUUGCUUUGCUUUUAUGAGCAUGUUUCCCUUAGUAUUUUCCAAGACCCAUCUUCAAAUUUUCUUUCUACUGAUUGAUUUUUAACUUAAUAUCAUAAUGCUCUUUAUUUCCCAUUAUGAAAAAUGGGAAAAAUGAGAAAAUUAGUUCAUUUAUAUUUCCUCAUACUUCUCCUUCAAGCUUCCUUUUCCCCACUAUUUAUUAAUUAUAUUUACUAUUUUUAGUACUUUUCAUAGUUCUUUUCAAAAUUAUAGCAGACAUUCUUGUUUAUUAACUUUAUUAAAUUUAGAUGCCUUUUUGGCCCAACACCUCAGCAAGAAAAAUGAGAAACCAUAUGCACUUACAUAUGGUGUUCUCUGUUGUCUUCUAUUUUAUGUUUUUUUAAUUAUUGUAUUUAACUAUCAAUAUCAUAUUUACUUUUUAUUAAAUAUAAUUUUCAUGGUUGAUUACUCUUGGUAAUGGCUACACCAGGCAUUUCACCAUACUUGGAGAGAAUUUCUUUCAAAAUUAGCUGAACUUUAAAAUCUUUUAAUGCAAGCAUAAUGAGGUCAGCAGAGAGGAAAAUGAGAGGAGGUGAUAACUCUAGUAGAAGUAAUGUCCAUCAGUGAAAGGCAGGGCAGAUAUUCCAAAAAUACAGGGAGGAAAGGAGGAACAGAAUGAGAGUACAGGCAAUUUUAGUGACUGAUAGUAAAUGGUCAAGGAAGAGCCCACCUAACGCUAUUUUUUUAAAACUGUGAAAACAAUACCAUUAUAUCCUGAACGGAGGGCAAUGUUUGCCGGCUCAGGAUCUGGGAAUGAAUAGAGAAUGUGUAAAAGAGAGAAUGAACAUUAAGAAAUGUUGUGUGGGCCUUGAAUACACAUACCAAAGACAUAAAAAUGGCGAACAAGUAUAUGAGAAGAUACUCAACAUCAGUAAUCAUCAGGAAAACACAAAUUAGAAAUACUAUGAGAUGCCACCACAUACCUAUUAAGACAGUUGUCAUCAAAAAGAUAAGAGAUAAUGAGAGACAGGACUAGCUGGAUUUCCUAGGCCGACUAAGAAUCCCUAAGCCUAGCUGGGAAGGUGACCGAGCUUCUAAUAGAGCUAUAACACUCACUGCAUGAUCCAAGAUUCCAUUCCUUGGAAUCCGUGAGGCCAAGAAUCCCGGGUCAGAGAACACAAAGCUUGCCACCAUCUUGGAAGCGGCCCACCACCAUCUUGGAAGCGGCUUGCCACCAUCUUGGGAACUCUGUGAGCAAGGGCCUCAGGUAACAUUUUGGUGACCACGAAGUGACCUCCAAAGCGGUGAGUAAUAUUGGACCACUUUCGCUUGCUAUUCUGUCCUAUCCUUCCUUGGAAUUGGAGGAAAAUACCGGGCACCUGUCGACCAGUUAAAAACGAUUAGCAUGGCCGCCGGACUUAAGACUCAGGUGUGAGACUAUCUGGCGAAGGGCUUUCUAACAACCCCCAACCCUUCUGGCUUGGGGACGUUGGUCUGGUCGGAGCAGCUUCCACUUUCAAUUUUCAUGGGGAAGCCGAGGGCCGACUAGAGGCAGAAAGCUGUCAUCCCGAACUCCUGGCAGUAGCCGGUUGAGAUCAUGGCGCAGCCAGAAUUCUCUACUCAGUAGAUGCCCAUCCGUGCGCCCCUACCUUUCCCUUCUGAUCCAUACCUCCUGGGUCCCGACCAUGACUUUCUUGAAAGCAUAGCCCCCAAAUUCUCCUUACCUCUGAAUCUACUUCCUCUGAUCCUUGCGUCCUAGGUACUAAUGGUUCAGACUUUCAUUUCCUCUAGCAAGUUGUAUCUCCAAAGGGAUCUCAGGAAGCUCUAUGCUGUGUCCUUAGGCAUCUAGGCUGUAACCCAGGGAGUCUUAUCCCUGGUGUCCCUCCCGAUUUAGGUAUACAGCUCUCGACAUGGGCAGUUAUGUGGGACCCAUUCCCCACCACCCUUGCCAGGGGCCCAAGUCUGUAAUGGCUAAGAGAGAGAUGGAGAGAGAGAGACAGAUGGAGAGAGAGAGAGAGAGAGACAGAGAGAGAUGGAGAGAGAGAGACAGAGAGAGAGAGAGAGACAGAGAGAGAGACAAAGACGGAGUCAAAGAGAAAGAAAGAAAAAGAUAGAAAUAGUAAAAAGAAAAGUGUGCCCUAUUCCUUUAAAAGCCAGGGUAAAUUUAAAACCUGUAAUUGAUAAUUGAAGGUCUUCUCCAUGAUCCUAUAACACUCCAAUGCCACUUUGUUGUCAGUGUAAAUAAGGGCGUAGCCCGAAAG
rnacentral:lncRNA from 1 species